rnacentral:rRNA from 1 species
ACGGACCUGAUAUUAGG